UUGGACGUGGUGGCUUAGGGACAUGGUUCAGUGGGUGACAUUGGUGGUAGGGGGAUGGUUGGACCAGAUGAUCUUGAAGGUCUCUUCCAACCCUUAUGUUUUUAUGAUUAUAUACCAAACUUUAUUUUUGUGUUCAUUUCAAAGACCUCUCAAUGAGCAGUUGACUAGGCAGUCCUGCCCAGUCCAUCCUAUAGAAAUAUAAAUACUUCAGUGUUGCUUGAUAUUUUCGGAUUAAGGAGUAUCUUAAAAAGCUGUAUUUUACAGAGAACAUCUGAAGGUCUAAACACUGUUGAAAACUGUUCAGUGGCUUUAUCAUUAGCAUAACGACUGUGGAGCAAGCUCCAGAAGGAUGAGUCACUCAUACUGUUUUCAAGUUUAGUGAAAGUUCAUUGAAAUUCAGUGACACAGAUAUUUUUAAAAGGUUUAAAAAAGAGUGUGUAGCUUCUGAAAGAAAAUAACUAGGCUUUUAAACUCUUGCAGACAAGAGCAUUUUAUUUUUUGAUAACUAAUCUGCAGAACUCCUAACGUCCCUUCAACCUGAGCUGCACCAGGAACGUACCUGAACAAGCAAAUGGAGAGACGGCAGUCCCCAGAGCUAAAGAGGGAGUACCAAGUUAAUUCCGGGUUUGGAUCAAACUAGGCAGAUGUUGAGGCUGGGAUUGGAAAAACUGUAUGGAGUAAAGUCCCUCUUGGCUUGCUCUUUUCUUGGGGGAGGGUUGAAAGGAGGACAUUUUACAGCUGUGUCUAAUUUUAUCUGAAGAGCGUUGGCUGACUUCUGACUUAGCUCGCUGCAGUGGAGGCAAUGCCUUGUGAAGGCACCUGGAUGUAAUUUGGCAGUUUCCAUACGACAGCCACGUUGAGUUUAGUGGCACUUAAGCCAUCCGGCUGAUUGGCCAUAGCAUGUGAGCUACAGCCUGAGCUUUCACUCAGGCUUUUCGCAGCCUGCCCAGCAGAGGAGCAGCAGGUACAGCCCCCUGAGUGCUGACAGCCUUGAGGUCCUUCCCGCUGGGCAGGGAAGGGCAGCUCUGCUGGGCACAGUUUGCUCGUGGCACCAGCAAGUGCGUGCUGGUCCUCGCCUAGAUGCUCAGGGUGGCUGCAGCUGCAGGGGGGUAAACACUGGGACAGGAACACAUGACUGAAAAGUUGCACUGACUGUGGUUUGAGAGAGGUAGCUGGCCCCUCUGCUGCAUUACGUUCCCCUGGUGCCUUGGUGUCUGUUGUAGGAAGCACCUGCUGCUGUUUUUGUUUUCUGCUCAUUCUGUUCUGUUUUGUCAGCUAGAGAUGAGUGUCUUGCACCGGUUUCCCUUAGCAGGGUGAGUACUUCCACUGCUCCGGUUUUUACUGAAGUAAAUGCUCAGUUCCAUUGGUUGUUGGUUUUGUUUUUUUGUUGUUGUUGUUGUUUUGUUUUGUUUUGUUCUGAAGUUCAGGGAGAAAAGCCAAGCCAACGUAUUUCAUGUCUGAGGAUAAGGCAGGGUGCACAUGUGGUCUGCUACCCUGACUUCACUAACAGGUAGUAAGCUGUAAAAGAAAUCAGCUUCAUCACUUGCAAUGAUGUGAAAGUGCAACGCUGAAGGCAUUGUCUUUAUGCUGUUGCUUUUACAAGAGUGAUGUAGUGCUUGUUUUUCUUUCUUGGUGCUUUACUCGUGGUAUAGCAGAGUGUGUGUUGCCUGUCCACUUACCACGUAAUGUAAGCUUUAUCUGUCUGAUACAGAAAAGUUCUGCACCUGAAGGGGCAGAAAAAAUCCUCUCUUUUUCAGCCUGGUGUAAAGAGCAGGCUUAAGCUUCCGUUUACCUUUUCCUUCUGAACUUUGCACCCUUUGGACCCAUUGAAAAGAAAGAACUGAAGCUUCUUGCACAGCCAGUGGUACAGGAAGGAGCUCUCUUCCAUGUGCCAGUUUGUUCACUUACCAGCUUGAUGUUGUGGGUGAGCUCACAAAUGCAAUUUUGGGUUACUGUUCUCUACCUUGAUGAAGUUGUGCUUCGCUUUUAAUUCCCGUAUUGUGUUGUACCAUGGUGAAAGGAAUAGGCUACUGGUUAAAAGUUGUAGUGGCUCUAAAUGCAUAUAUUUGUUGGAAAUGUUUUCAGAUUUGCCAUAUGCAUGUGACUUUGAGGCUGGUUCGUGGCAUAGCUAUCCCUCCUCUUUCAUUCAGCAACUUGUGAGUGAGUAUAAAUGCUGUGUGCAGCGUUGCUGAUGGGGAUGGGCAGCUGAAACAGAGCAGCUGAACAGGGCUGCAGCCUGGUUAGCUCUACCUGACAUAAUCUGGUUACUGUUGCAUAUUGCUUUUUCAUCUGUAUUUAGUUGGAAUUCCUGAUUUUUUCCUUUAAAAAAUCAAUAAAUUGUCUCUCCAUAUUUCUCCUAAGGUUUUUGAUUUUUUUUUUCUUUUCCUUUCUUCAUAGAGCCCUGACACAUCCCCUGUCUCUAAAUACCCUAAAAGUACACAGUGCGUCAGACCUGCAGUUCCUCUGUUCAGCAGUGUCAACCUCUGAAAGAAGCAGUGCUUCCAAAAUGUAUUGAAAUGAAAGUUUGCAUCUCUUAGAUGUCUAAUGGUAGAGUAGUAGACUAGACUAGUAGUAGACUAGCAGUUUGUUACACAGCAGCAAUCUCACCAGGUAUGUAGUCACAUAUUACCUCAUGGCAAAUACCAAAGCAGCUCCAAGCUUGUUGAUGAAUUCAUAUUGCUGUUGGCAAAUUUCUUAAAAUGUUGCCUUGUGGUCUGCUUUCCACUAAUGUUCUGUUGCAAUGGUAAGCAGUUUUUUUUUCCUUUCCAAAUUUUACAGAUUUCUCAUGACAAAUAUUUUUUAGUUACUUAAAAUCUGCCCGAAUAUUCAGCUUUUCAGAAAAUCUGUAUGUAUUGUCAGGAGCUCUGUAGUUAAGUUAGUUCUUCCUGUUCAGAACUGUCUAUAGGACCAUUUUCAAAUAUUCUUUCUGGAUUAAGUAUAUGGGGUGUGAUAUUUUUACUCUUAAACUGCUCUUAAAAGUCUUAGGUGCGUAGGAAUACUGUGUUGAAACUUGAUAUGCCUCCCAGGCAUAGAGUUAAUGCUUCAAGAGAAAUUUCUUUGUGGAGAGCUGCUUGUGCUCAGCUUUUUUAUGGAGGCUGGUGUAGAAGUAGGGAAGAUUGUUUUGACUCCUCCAGAGUUCAGGAGCUCAGACAGCCUCUGCUCAGUUACUACCCUGAGUAUGUAUAAUCGUAAAUUAAAUAAUUUAAAAGUGCUACAUAUGGUUUAGCAUGUCAGUGAAGCAUUUAAUCCAGAGUACCUGAAGUCGGAGUGAGCUGCACGAGUUACUGAAUUAGGGUGAGCAUUGUCCUUUAAAUUCAAGGGCACCUUGCUCCGUAAGGCAUUCCCGUCCACGGUGCCCAGCCCUGGCAGGUAGCUUGCUUUCAUGAAGUGACAGUCUGCUGUCACUUCUGUCUUCCUCUGUCAGUGCCACCUGUCUCUGGCACAGAUUAAUGAGCAUGGUAACGCGUUGAGGUUGUGGAGCUUGGUGUGCUGCUGUGGGUGGGUUGGAGCUGACUUGAGAGGAGGUGUUCAAGAGGGUGAAGGGGCUGGUGCUGAUAGUCCAGACAGGGCAAAACAGCUCAAUUCCUGCCACGUAGCAGUGGGGCUCCACAAAGCAGGUUUGUGCAGCGUUGUUCUUGGAGGGAAAUGGAGGAAAAGGUGAGUGUGAACAUGCUCAGAACAGGACCUGGACACUGGGACAGAUCCAACUGAUGCUGGGAGCUGGCAAAGGAAGACAGCAGAGCUAGCUGCUAGCAGAUGAUUUCCAAGAAGUCACUGAUUUUGCGCCUGACUUGCAGACCUGCUGUUCUGUCAUAUCAUUUUGUUUGUUUGUUAAUGCUGUGUGAAAAAUACCAGUGGAGGUGUGCUACACAAAUACACAGUGAAGGCUGAUUACCAGUGUGCCAUUUUUUUCUGCUCUUUUAAAUGCAUUUAUGCUUUAGGCUUGGAUAACAUCUAUCAUAUCCCAAGUAUGUACAGAGCCAGGUCCUGUCAGAGGACUCUGUACUUUCUUACUAACUACCGUUCAACUGCAAAUCUCUCUCACAGGAAGGUGCUGGAACUCCUGAGAUUUAUCCCAACAAGAAGCCUAGCAGAAUAAGGCAGGACAUGGGUUUGAAAUUCAAUAAUGAAGUAGCAGCACCUUGUUUGUUCCUCAUGUUCAACCCCAGAAAAGGAAGACAGGAAAGUGGAAGUCCCCUUGGAAUUCAGAAGGAAAUCCUGCAGCUAAUUGUAGAUGUCUGUGCCAAACAAUUCUGAACAAAUGAUGAUUUUGGCUAUUGUUUGUGACAUGACUUACUAAUGGUAGUGCCCCAUGUUACUUGAUCUGAAGGAAAACAGAGUCUUGAAGUAGUCAUUACAUCCUAAAAAUAUCAGUUGUGUAAUAUUCAUAGAAGUUCUGCUAUGAGCAUGGAUUGAUUGCUGAAACUUUUUUGUUAGGGAUCUGGUAUCCUAUAAUAAAGCAGGUAGAAUAUCCCUCACCGUCACGGAAUGAACUGCCAUCAUUCUAAUGAUGGUCUAUGAAUCUUCUUCCCUCUCCUCAGAUCUGUAGGGUAAUUGUUUUUUGAUUGGGGUAGGGGGAAAAAAGGAAGAAGGACGGACAAAUACUCAAAUGUAGUUGGAGUUGUUAUUCAUAUGAGGAGAUACUGUGUCUGUUGGGUGUUUUUGUAAAAUAGAGUAUAUCAUUUUUGUCUUAGGACAGAGAGGGUGAUUGAGUAACUUCACAAAGGAGGCCUUGCAGUUGCAGAUAGUUUAAAGAAAAUCUUAAUGGUUUGCUAAAGAAAUGGACAAAAGUUGAUUCACUAAGUUCGGUGAUUUUCUGAGAAGGCACAAUUACAUGAUCGAGUCUUUAAAAACAAAUAGGCAUGAGACAAGACAGUGUACAUAGAUACAGUAAGAAAACUACUGUGGUUGCUUCACUAAAGUAUUAAGAAAUUAGAAUGCUUUUUUUUUUUUUCAGAGUUAAAGGACUUUGCAGACUAUGUAUAAAUAACAGUUUUUGGUAUGACUUCGUUUUAAAAUUUCCUCUUUGCUUUUAUUUUAUGCUUACUGAAUAUAUCCAUUUUGUUUAGUCAUCACUUUGCUUCAGUCACCUUGGUCUGUAGUUGGAAAAAAAAAAAAAGAGGUUGUUUGGUGGUCUUAAUGGGGAAGUAUUUUUGCAAAGAAAUCACUUCUUUGCUGCAGCUUUUCUAUUUUGUUUCUGUUUUGUCAUGAACAAGCUAAACAGUUUCCUG